rnacentral:rRNA from 1 species
AUACGGAGGGUGCAAGCGUUACUCGGAAUCACUGGGCGUAAAGCGCGCGCAGGCGGCUAUUUAAGUUGGAUGUGAAAGCCUACGGCUCAACCGUAGAACUGCAUCCAAAACUAUUUAGCUAGAGUGUGGGAGAGGAAGAUGGAAUUAGUUGUGUAGGGGUAAAGUCCGUAGAGAUAACUAGGAAUACCAAAAGCGAAGGCAAUCUUCUGGAACACUACUGACGCUGAGGCGCGAAAGCGUGGGGAGCAAACAGGAUUAGAAACCCUAGUAGUCC